rnacentral:rRNA from 1 species
CGCAUAAGCCCACGACCCGGCAUCGGGUAGAGGGAAAAGGAGCAAUCCGCUUUGAGAUGGCCUCGCGUCCGAUUAGCUAGUUGGUGAGGUAACGGCCCACCAAGGCGACGAUCGGUAGCCGGACUGAGAGGUUGAACGGCCACAUUGGGACUGAGACACGGCCCAGACUCCUACGGGAGGCAGCAGUGGGGAAUAUUGCACAAUGGGGGAAACCCUGAUGCAGCGACGCCGCGUGGAGGAAGAAGGUCUUCGGAUUGUAAACUCCUGUUGUUGAGGAAGAUAAUGACGGUACUCAACAAGGAAGUGACGGCUAACUACGUGCCAGCAGCCGCGGUAAAACGUAGGUCACAAGCGUUGUCCGGAAUUACUGGGUGUAAAGGGAGCGCAGGCGGGAAGACAAGUUGGAAGUGAAAUCCAUGGGCUCAACCCAUGAACUGCUUUCAAAACUGUUUUUCUUGAGUAGCGCAGAGGUAGGCGGAAUUCCCGGUGUAGCGGUGGAAUGCGUAGAUAUCGGGAGGAACACCAGUGGCGAAGGCGGCCUACUGGGCACCAACUGACGCUGAGGCUCGAAAGUGUGGGUAGCAAACAGGAUUAGAUACCCUGGUAGUCCACACUGUAAACGAUGAUUACUAGGUGUUGGAGGAUUGACCCCUUCAGUGCCGCAGUUAACACAAUAAGUAAUCCACCUGGGGAGUACGACCGCAAGGUUGAAACUCAAAGGAAUUGACGGGGGCCCGCACAAGCAGUGGAGUAUGUGGUUUAAUUCGACGCAACGCGAAGAACCUUACCAAGUCUUGACAUCCUGCGACGGACUAGAAAUAUGUUUUUCCUUCGGGACGCAGAGACAGGUGGUGCAUGGUUGUCGUCAGCUCGUGUCGUGAGAUGUUGGGUUAAGUCCCGCAACGAGCGCAACCCUUAUGGUCAGUUACUACGCAAGAGGACUCUGGCCUGACUGCCGUUGACAAAACGGAGGAAGGUGGGGAUGACGUCAAAUCAUCAUGCCCUUUAUGACUUGGGCUACACACGUACUACAAUGGCGUUAAACAAAGAGAAGCAAGACCGCGAGGUGGAGCAAAACUCAGAAACAACGUCCCAGUUCGGACUGCAGGCUGCAACUCGCCUGCACGAAGUCGGAAUUGCUAGUAAUCGCAGAUCAGCAUGCUGCGGUGAAUACGUUCCCGGGCCUUGUACACACCGCCCGUCACACCAUGAGAGCCGGGGGGACCCGAAGUCGGUAGUCUAACCGCAAGGAGGACGCCGCCGAAGGUAAAACUGGUGAUUGGGGUGAAGUCGGAACAAGGUA